UAAAAGAAAUGGAGAGGAUGAGGUCUUUGUCCUACCUGACUUUAGAUGCUGGACAGGGGCUGUAGAAAYAUUUGAAGUACAUUCCAGUGGAAGAAGUAUCUAGCAUUUCUUUUGCCUUUGCUGGUCACUGUAGUAUUGAUAGUAUUUCUCUCUAGGUCCUCUGCUUUUCAAGAGGCUCUUUCUGUGCAUCCCUAACUGCUGCCAUCAAUGAGCUUCUCCUCAAGUGGAGUUAAAGGAAAACAGGAACUCUUCAAUUUCAAGAGUAUCCUUGGGGUGCAUGAGAGGAUCUACAUAUACAGGUAUGGGAGGAUUCAAUUUCAGUUAUCAAGGCAGUAACAAGAUUUGCCAUGAGUGGAAGGAGGAGUCUGGCUCUCAGUCUUUCCAAUGCCCUUCCAUUUUAAGAACAGUCACGAAUUCUUUUCUUUUUUUAAAUAAUGAUGAGAGCAAUCAACGUCUGCCAAAAGCAAAUGAUGUGUCGGCUUACCAUAAGUUCCUUGUCAGGUCCAGAUUUGGAGAAUGGUGGUGGUCCCCCAGAGGUCUCCUAUUCUGCUGCUGUCCUCUGAGAGUGCUCUGCAGGGCCUGUGCCCACAGGAACGAGUCUGACUCCAGGUAG
rnacentral:lncRNA from 1 species